rnacentral:rRNA from 1 species
GCUUAUACUGUGAAACUGCGAAUGGCUCAUUAAAUCAGUUAUAGUUUAUUUGAUGGUACCUCUCAAUCCGGAUACCCGAAAAAUUUCUAGACCAAAAACGGGCGUAAUUCCCACCUUCGGAAAGGAACUAAUUUUUAAAAUAAAAGGCCGACCGAGCUUUGCUCGACCCGGGGAGUCUCAUGAAAUUUUCGCAACGCCCACGGCCUUGUGCCCGCGCUGUUCCUCUCAUUUUUCCGCUCUAUCAUUUUUCGAUGGGAAGAUAGACGCCUACCGUGGUGGUAACGGGUGAAGGAUGAUUAUGCUACGAUUCAGAAGAGGAAACCUGAAAAACGACCACCACAUCCAAAGGACGCAGCAGGCCCGCAAAUUACCCCCCCCUGAUACGGGGAGGUAACGACAAUAAAUAACAAUGCCGGGCUUUUCCUGUUGGGUAGAUGGAAUGAUAACUAUCUAAAUCCCUUACCAAUGAUCCAAUGGAGGGGAAGUCGGGUGCCAGCACCCUCGGUAACUCCCCCUCCAAUAACGUAUAUUUAAUUUGAUGCAGUUAACUCGCUCGUAGAUGGAUUACGGGUGGGUUCUAUCGGUCCGCCUAAGGUGAGGACUGCUAUGCCCCUCCUUUCUGUCGACGACGGGCUUCGGGUCUAUGCUGUCGAGAACUCGGACUCUACGUGAUUACUAUCAAUAAAUUCAGUGCUCGCAGCCCGCUUACACCACAUUACUAUAGCAUGUAACAUGCGAUAAGACUCUCUAUAUCGUGUUGCUCUGAAGACCGGAUUAAGAUUAAGAUGGACAGUCGGGCGUCUUAUAUCUCAUGGAGAUGUGAUAUUCGAGGAUUAUGAAAGACGAUCUACUG